rnacentral:lncRNA from 1 species
GGAACUUUUACCAUUAUCUUAGAAGUAGCAGUUGGUGGCCACUGGGGACCCAGGCCCUUUCUUUCGAGCCAAGAAUACAGUAUCAGUCUAGAAAAGAUCAAGUAAAAGAGGGGUUCUUAGGAAAAUUAAGUGGGGUUUGCAAGGUGGGUGACAAGAAGAGCCAUUUUUCUUUUUUUAUUCCUUGGCAUAUGGUAGGAAGAAAAUGAUGGGCUGAUAGGGAAGUCAUCCCGGCUCUUGCUUCCACUGACUCUGGCUGUUGGAGAAACGGGGCGAGUGUAUAGCUUCCAGACCAGGAGGCUUAGGGGAGUAGGUCAGAGGCUGCACUCCACAGUCACUGGGGCUCUGAUCUCAUCUCCCUCCCCUCCCCACUGCAGUGCACACAGGAAGAAGUAUCUUCAGAAGAUGAAGACGAGGAGAUGCCUGAGGUAGGCUUGCAACCUGAGGUGGUGUUGGCAGGAAGCUGUUGCCGUCAGCGGCACUCAUCACCCACCAUAAACAGAGCUCCAGUCUAGAACUAGGGAGAGAGAAACAAUGUACUGAUCAGGAGGAAUGACCAGUGUAGUAGAGGAAACAGGCACCAUAUCCCCCCUCUGAAGGCAAUCAGGUGCAAAUAAAUACUCAAGUUAAUUUCAGAUGGCGUUGGAGGCUGACAGACUGAGUUUGCAUCCUGGCUAUCCUAACUAGGGAGGUACACCUAAUCUCACCAAGCUAGAUGGGAUUAUAAUACAUGCUGCAUAUGGUUGUCUUAAGAUUAAGUAAAAUAUUGUAUAUAAAGUAUUUUGUGAGUACUAAGUAACUUACGUAAUAUAUUCUUUAAAAACAUAGAUGCUUUUGCAGAAUACAGAGUAACGAUUAAGAAUUUGAGUUUCAGAUCUAGAUAGAACUUGAUCUAAUGUUUAGCUCUGCCAAGAGUUCUAUGACUUUGGGCAUGAGAAUUAAUAUCUUACUAGACUUAAGCUUCCUCAUUUGUAAAAUGGAGACAGCGAUUGAAUAACGUUUAAUAAUGGUUGUGAGGAUGAAAUGAUCUGGUGUGUAAUAAACAUUAAGUAGAUGUUAGCUGGUACUGUAAUAAUCAGGAGGUUAGUAUGUUCUGCCAGGUAAGACACUGAUCACUUUGUUUCAGAGCAUUGGAUUAAUGUCCCAAGUUCUAUAAGUCUGUAAAGGUCUUAAGACUGACAGACAGCUGGUGACACAUGAAAUUUACUCUUCCCAGACGGUGGACAGCCCUGUGUACCACACCCUGAACACCUGACUGAAAGGCUAACUCCUGGCGUCCUCCCCCUGUGAAUAGUGAACUACUUGUUCACUUAGAAUAGGUUGAAUAAAGAGCUAAUUCUGUUCUUAACUUCGGCUGCCUUCCUCUCUGGACCCCCUUUCUCAUUUCCAUCUUGUUAGUAGGUGCCUCUGCAAACCUGACUCAAGCCCUACAUUUGUAGGGAGAGGAGGAGAUGAAAUCCCAGAUUCUCCUCUGGACCUGAGGCCCUGAGGAUCCUGGGUACAUCAGUUCACCUGAUGAAACAUGAGCUUUCAGUGACAGUGUCGGGCCAAAGUCAUUCUGAUAGGAAUUGGGAAAGAGAAGGGGGGUUUUAGGGGCAGGUCAAGCAGGGUUGUCCUGGGGAGCAAAAGGCCAAGUCUUCGUAGGUCCUUACCUUAGCUCUGUGGCUGUAGAACUGGAGAAGAGAAGUGCCUGUCCUUCACAGGGUGGAGGGAUAGGGUUGGGAAGUGUUCUGGAAGCGAGGGGGGGUGUUGAGUGGUGGGACUGCUAGAUGACUGCUUCUCCUGGAGCUCCAGGCCAGGUGGGACUAGGAAGGUGACGGUCCUCAUUCACAGCCUUCUCCCUUUCCCCUCUGUUCCCCUCCCUCCCGCUCUGCCCAGGACACGGAAGACCUAGAUCACUAUGAAAUGAAAGAGGAAGAGCCAGCUGAGGGCAAGAAAUCCGAAGACGAUGGCAUCGGAAAAGAAAACCUGGCCAUCCUAGAGAAGAUCAAAAAGAACCAGAGGCAAGAUUACUUAAAUGUACGUGCCUCGUAGGGAGUGGCGGGGCACGAGGGAGGUGGGCACUACCUGGGGAGUGGUAGGCCGCAGCUCACAGCAUAGGGAGCUGCUCGCAUCUAAUCGUCCUCCAGACCCUGGGCAAGCAGUGGAGGUGUAACGUGUGUUUCCAGACUGGGACCAGAGAAUGUUCUGUUGUUUCUCCCUCACAGGGUGCAGUGUCUGGCUCGGUGCAGGCCACUGACCGGCUGAUGAAGGAGCUCAGGGAUAUAUACCGAUCACAGAGUUUCAAAGGCGGUGAGUUAGCUCCAGAGAGGGGCUUGCACGGGAGUUUCUCCUCGGGGUGGAUAUGGGAUAUGAUAUGAUAUGGUGCAGAAAGCCCCAGGGUUCGGGGUACAUGAGUAUUGACAAACUUGCGGUCAGGAACGGAGCACCUUAAAGCCAGUGGCUUGGCUUGGGUGUGCAUUCAUCUAGAGCAGACCUGGACCUUUGAUCUUUUUCCCUCGGUUUGUGAGAGGGAGCAGUCUGAGGGACCCCUCCCCGUCUGUACUGUCCUACUGACACUUCCCUUCCCCUUUUCUAGGAAACUAUGCAGUUGAACUCGUGAAUGACAGUCUAUACGAUUGGAAUGUCAAACUCCUCAAGUGAGUGGGGACUGGGGAGUCGGGAGCGGGGUGGGUGGAACACCUGGUGAUGUCUGGGCAGUCUCACUAGCAUGUUGGUUGCAGGGUCCCCAGAAGUGGGUGUGGGCAGUGGUAUGUGUAUCUGGGGCCGGCCGGGGCGCAGGGGAGGAGGGGGUUGGUGGGGAGCCCUUGUGAGGCUCUGCACUGGGACAAGGGUUUGAGCCCAGACUUGUUUCACAGAGUUGACCAGGACAGCGCUUUGCACAAUGAUCUCCAAAUCCUCAAAGAGAAGGAAGGAGCUGAUUUCAUCCUACUUAAUUUCUCCUUUAAGGUAAGCCUUCCCCCAGCUCUCCCUCCCUGGCCUGAGUUCCCUGUCUGCCUAAGUCUUGUGAGGAUGCCGGUCUCCUUCCCUGAAUGCUGCCUCUGUCUUUCUCAGGAUAACUUUCCCUUUGACCCACCGUUCGUCAGGGUUGUGUCUCCAGUCCUCUCUGGAGGGUGAGUGGCUGGGUCAGGGAGAGGGUGAAGCAGGGACUGGAAGCUCUUGCCAGGCCUGACUGACCGACCUUUCUCAUGCAGGUAUGUUCUGGGCGGAGGUGCCAUCUGCAUGGAACUUCUCACCAAGCAGGUGAGGCCCUUUCACUGUUGGCCCAAGAGCCUGGGUGGGGCCCGACAGCUGAGCUUCCUCCCCAUCCCAGCCUGGGCACAGGCGUCUGUGGCCCUGUUACCCUGCCACGUAGUGGCUGUCCUGGGAGGGAAGGGCACGGGCACUUCCAUAGAGAGGCACUGCCGCCUGGAGAAGAAGUGGAAGGUGUCUCCAGGAGCCCUGUCCUGACUCGCUCGCUUUGUCCCUGCUGUCCCCAGGGCUGGAGCAGUGCCUACUCCAUAGAGUCAGUGAUCAUGCAGAUCAGUGCCACACUGGUGAAGGGGAAAGCGCGAGUGCAGUUUGGAGCCAACAAAGUAAGGGGCCUGGCCUGGCGGGCUGGCUGGAGCCGAGUGCGUCGUGGCCCAGGCUGAGGGCAAAGGGGACACAGUCCCUGGGCUGCGAUGUUGGAGGAGAGGGCCUGGGGUGGCCACAGUGGGAACAGAGCAGGGCCUUAGCUGAGGGGUGUCCUCAGGGUUUGGGGGUUCAGGUCAGGAAAGGGAAGGCUGUGGGAUUGUGUCCCCAAGGGACCUCUCAGACAGAGGUCCUUAGCGUGCUACCAGGGUACCGCGCUGGCAGCCGGGCUUCCUGGGUCUCUGGGUGGCCGCCUGUGGAAGGGGAGGGGCAGUGAGCCACAGCUGGCGUGGCCUGACCGGUGGCUUCUCCCCCCAGUCUCAGUACAGUCUGACGAGAGCACAGCAGUCCUACAAGUCCUUGGUGCAGAUCCACGAAAAGAACGGUGAGGCCGGAGCCGGGCCCGGGGCUCUGGUGCUGGGCAACCCCAGGUUCUCACUCGGCCCGUAGCAAGGUCCCUCUGGGUUUCCGAGCCGUUCACCCACUCACCCACACCUGCCGGCUCUCCAGAGAAGGCCUGGAGGUGGUGUCGUGGGCAGUCUUGGUGCUGCCCUCUUCCUGACCACCCUUUGAAAGACUCUUCACCACCUCGGGUUGGGCUCUUCACUCUCCCUGUCCUUACAACCUCCAGGUAGGCAGCCUCCGCUUCCCUGUACCUCUCUUCUCGCACCUGGCAGCCUCCCUAGGACCUUCUUGCCUGGAGACGCUGCAGAUGUCCACGGUGACUGGGACAGGGAGGGCGCUCUGGGCCUGGACCUCGCUGACCUGGUGUGUUUCUUUGCAGGCUGGUACACACCCCCAAAGGAAGACGGCUAACCCUGGAGCGUCGCCCCUCCUCCUCCCCCAGGCACCACUGGACCAAUACCUUUGAAUGCUGUAUCUGGAUCUCACGCUGCCUCUGUGGUUCCCUCCCUCAUUUUUCCUGGACGUGAUAGCUCUGCCUAUUGCAGGACAAUGAUGGCUAUUCUAAACGCUAAGGAAAAAAAACAAAAAAACAAACAGAACUGUUUCAAGUACUCAAGACUGACUACAGACCAACAACCACCUUGCUGGAACCCUUGCUAGCAGGCAUUCUUAUAAAGAAACUCUCGAGCCUCCUUAUAUUGCUGGAAACUCAGCUGUGCUCCAGACUAGAGCCUCCUUACCUAUGCUAUGGAUUUUUAAUUUAUUUUCUCUUAUUUCAUGUACACUGCUUUUUUUGGUUACAGUGUAUGAUGGAUGUGUAUGAAAAAAAAAUGUAUCUUUGGGAAAACAAUUACAGUUUGUUAAUUUGAAGAUGCUGGUCUUGACUCAUCUUUAUUUUUAUUCCCACAUCCCACCCCACCCCCAUCCCCUGACUGCUUGGGAGGUGGGGGAGGGGUGCCAGGUCCACUGUGCUUUGGUAGCCAUGAGGCUGUGCUCCGCUAACCCAAGAAAUCUGGAGCUAAGCACCACCUGGCCCACCCCUAGGUUUCCCAAAGGCCCCUGCUGACUUACAGUGUAGCAGGCUGGUAUGAUGAACUUGAUUCUUAGGACUGCGUUUCACUUCUAGUUUCAGAGACUUUUCAAAUUUCUAAGAAAUAGAAAAUGUGGAGGCUCAAGAGGCUGCUUCAUAGAAAUCCUUUUAUGAGAACUGAGUGGGGCUGGGGCGCAGGCUCCUGCGUGUGUACGUGGUCUUUUCUAAUCACAGCCAUCCGCUGUCUAGCUACAACUCUGCAGUGUGCUUUGGCUCCUCUCCCUCCCAGAAAGUGGCUUCUGACUGGCCCUGGAUUGUGAUCAGUGGUAAGCUCUGCUCACCUUCCUCCUGUCUCCUGCUUCAUUUGGGGGUGUAGAAGAGAAAUGGCUCUUGAAGUAAGUUUGGCUGACUUGGAGAAUUGUGGACCCCUUCAAGUCAUUCUUGUAAGAUGCUGGUCCUACUAGAAACGGUUAGCUCUGAGGUGGGUUGUUGCAUGACCUGUGUCCUUACCCCAGGCGUGAGGAACUGCUGGGCCAGGAGGAAAGUGGGAGGAGUCUGUGGGGCUGGAGCAGGUGGUGCUGUGUUGUAUGUACUGCUGUUGUAAAAGUUUGGACAUGACUUUGCAUAUGGCGGGUGCUGCCUGUGUCUCCCUGUCAGGAAGCUUGCUUUGGGGCAGAGGCAGCUUUUGGGGGCUGACUGUGCCCACAGAGUGGGUAAAGAUUGAAAACAACAGAGGCCAGAAACAGCUAAGACAGACCCAAGUCUUAGGAAACCCAGAUCUGGGACGGCUGCCUGGGAACCUGUAGGAGGCCCGAGGAGCCCUGUGAUGCUUUAAGACACAGCAAUUUUAACUUGGCCAUUCUCCCCUCCCCCACCCCAUCCCGAGGGAUUCUAAUGUCUUGCUGCUUUAGGUGGAUGGAGAGUUCACCAAUCCCAUUCAAUGCUGCUCCAACUCUGCCCACACCCACCUGAUUAGGGGUGCUAAUACAUGCCGAGGUUGAGAUAAAGAGGGGACCUAAGGGGAAAAUUCAUUCCAUAGAGCUGAAAUCUGGUUUUCAAGGCCUCCGUGGCUUUCUUCUGAAUUUAUUACCAGCCCUGGCUGGAAUGUAGAUUGUGUUUUUAGUAAUGUGUACUGUGAGCUGUCCUCUGUAUAAUGUAUUUUGUAAUGUAUUUUUCUCAUCUACCAAAGGAUGAAACAAAUAAAAUUAUUUAAAUAGUUUGGCUCUAA